rnacentral:rRNA from 1 species
CCUACGGGUGGCAGCAGUGGGGAAUAUUGGGCAAUGGGCGCAAGCCUGACCCAGCAACGCCGCGUGAAGGAAGAAGGCCUUCGGGUUGUAAACUUCUUUUGUCAGGGACGAAGCAAGUGACGGUACUUGACGAACAAGUUACGGCUAACUACGUGCAAGCAGCCGCGGUAAUACGUAGGUGGCAAGCGUUAACCGGAUUUACUGGGUGUAAAGGGCGUGUAGGCGGGACUGCAAGUCAGAUGUGAAAACCACGGGCUCAACCUGUGGCCUGCAUUUGAUACUGUAGUUCUUGAGUACUGGAGAGGCAGACAGAAUUCCAGGUGUAGCGGUGAAAUGCGUAGAUAUUAGGAGGAACACCAGUGGCGAAGGCGGUCUGCUGGACGGCGACUGACGCUGAGGCGCGAAAGCGUGGGGAGCAAACAGGAUUAGAUACCCGGGUAGUC